rnacentral:rRNA from 1 species
ACUCCUACGGGAGGCAGCAGUAGGGAAUCUUCGGCAAUGGACGGAAGUCUGACCGAGCAACGCCGCGUGAGUGAAGAAGGUUUUCGGAUCGUAAAGCUCUGUUGUAAGUCAAGAACGAGUGUGAGAGUGGAAAGUUCACACUGUGACGGUAGCUUACCAGAAAGGGACGGCUAACUACGUGCCAGCAGCCGCGGUAAUAC